rnacentral:rRNA from 1 species
AUUGAACGCUGGCGGCAGGCCUAACACAUGCAAGUCGAACGGAAGAACGGUGCUUGCUUGUGGUUACAGCGGGGGACGGGUGGGCGAGGCAUGUGAAUAUCCGUAGCUGUGUUUUCGAACGUCCUGACGCAGGCGCACAUACCCCAUAACCGCAGACGGCGUACGUGUGGGAGCAUCGGACCUUACGAUCUCACGUGAGUGGAGGUCGGAUUAGCUAGUUGGUGGGGUAAAGGGCUACCAAGGCGACGAUCCGUAGCUGGUCUGAGAGGAUGAUCAGCCACACUGGAACUGAGACACGGUCCAGACUCCUACGGGAGGCAGCAGUGGGGAAUAUUGGACAAUGGGCGAAAGCCUGAUCCAGCCAUGCCGCGUGUGUGAAGAAGGCCUUCGGAUUGUAAAGCCCUUUUGUUGGGGAGGAAGGGCAGUAGGUUAAUACCUUGCUGUUUUGACGGUACCAAAAGAAUAAGCACCGGCUAACUUCGUG